GGGGGGGUCGGCCACACUGACACUGACAUACGGGUCAGACUCCUACGGGAGGCAGCAGUCGGGAAUUUUGGGCAAUGGGCGAAAGCCUGACCCAGCAACGCCGCGUGAAGGAUGAAAUCCCUCGGGGAUGUAAACUUCGCAAGAACGGGAAGAAUAAGUAAGGGUUAAUAUCUCUUACGAUGACGGUACUGUUUGUAAGCUCCGGCUAACUCCGUGCCAGCAGCCGCGGUAAUACGGGGGGAGCAAGCGUUGUUCGGAUUUACUGGGCGUAAAGGGCGCGUAGGCGGCCACCGCAAGUCGACUGUGAAAUCUCUGGGCUUAACCCAGAAAGGUCAGCCGAUACUGCGGGGCUAGAGUGCAGAAGGGGCAACUGGAAUUCUCGGUGUAGCGGUGAAAUGCGUAGAUAUCGAGAGGAACACCUGCGGCGAAGGCGGGUUGCUGGGCUGACACUGACGCUGAGGCGCGAAAGCUAGGGGAGCGAACGGGAUUAGAUACCCCGGUAGUCCUAGCCUUAAACGAUGAAUGCUUGGUGUCUGGGGUUUUAUAGUCCCCGGGUGCCGUCGCUAACGCUUUAAGCAUUCCGCCUGGGGAGUACGGUCGCAAGACUGAAACUCAAAGGAAUUGACGGGGACCCGCACAAGCGGUGGAGCAUGUGGUUUAAUUCGACGCAACGCGAAGAACCUUACCUGGGCUAGAAUGCCUCUGACCGCCCUAGAGAUAGGGCUUCCUGGGUAAAACCAGGCAGAGUGCAAGGUGCUGCAUGGCUUC
rnacentral:rRNA from 1 species